rnacentral:rRNA from 1 species
AUAGCCCAGAGAAAUUUGGAUUAAUACCUCAUAGUAUAUAGCCCUGGCAUCAGGAUUAUAUUAAAGUCACAACGGUGAAAGAUGAGCAUGCGUCCCAUUAGCUAGUUGGUAUGGUAACGGCAUACCAAGGCUACGAUGGGUAGGGGUCCUGAGAGGGAGAUCCCCCACACUGGUACUGAGACACGGACCAGACUCCUACGGGAGGCAGCAGUGAGGAAUAUUGGACAAUGGGCGCAAGCCUGAUCCAGCCAUGCCGCGUGCAGGAUGACGGUCCUAUGGAUUGUAAACUGCUUUUGCACAGGAAGAAACAACUCUACGUGUAGAGUCUUGACGGUACUGUGAGAAUAAGGAUCGGCUAACUCCGUGCCAGCAGCCGCGGUAAUACGGAGGAUCCAAGCGUUAUCCGGAAUCAUUGGGUUUAAAGGGUCCGUAGGCGGUCUUAUAAGUCAGUGGUGAAAUCUCCCCGCUCAACGGGGAAACGGCCAUUGAUACUGUAGGACUUGAAUUAUUAGGAAGUAACUAGAAUAUGUAGUGUAGCGGUGAAAUGCUUAGAGAUUACAUGGAAUACCAAUUGCGAAGGCAGGUUACUACUAAUGGAUUGACGCUGAUGGACGAAAGCGUGGGUAGCGAACAGGAUUAGAUACCCUGGUAGUCCACGCCGUAAACGAUGGAUACUAGCUGUUGGGAGCAAUCUCAGUGGC